UACGUAGGUGGCGAGCGUUGUCCGGAAUUACUGGGCGUAAAGGGAGCGUAGGCGGUUUUUUAAGUGGGAUGUGAAAUCCCCGGGCUCAACCUGGGAAUUGCAUUCCGAACUGGGAAACUAGAGUGCAGGAGAGGAAAGUGGAAUUCCAAGUGUAGCGGUGAAAUGCGUAGAGAUUUGGAGGAACACCAGUGGCGAAGGCGACUUUCUGGACUGUAACUGACGCUGAGGCUCGAGAGCGUGGGGAGCAAACAGG
rnacentral:rRNA from 1 species